rnacentral:rRNA from 1 species
CCUACGGGUGGCUGCAGUGGGGAAUAUUGGGCAAUGGGCGCAAGCCUGACCCAGCAACGCCGCGUGAAGGAAGAAGGCUUUCGGGUUGUAAACUUCUUUUCUCAGGGACGAAGCAAGUGACGGUACCUGCGGAAUAAGCCACGGCUAACUACGUGCUAGCAGCCGCGGUAAUACGUAGGUGGCAAGCGUUAUCCGGAUUUACUGGGUGUAAAGGGCGUGUAGGCGGGGACGCAAGUCAGAUGUGAAAACCACGGGCUCAACCUGUGGCCUGCAUUUGAAACUGUGAUUCUUGAGUGCUGGAGAGGCAGAUGGAAUUCCUAGUGUAGCGGUGAAAUGCGUAGAUAUUAGGAGGAACACCAGUGGCGAAGGCAGUCUGCUGGACAGCAACUGACGCUGAGACGCGAAAGCGUGGGGAGCAAACAGGAUUAGAUACCCGAGUAGUC